rnacentral:rRNA from 1 species
AUUGAACGCUGGCGGCAGGCCUAACACAUGCAAGUCGAACGGUAACAGGAAGCAGCUUGCUGCUUUGCUGACGAGUGGCGGACGGGUGAGUCAUGUCUGGGAAACUGCCCGAUGGAGGGGGAUAACUACUGGAAACGGUAGCUAAUACCGCAUAACGUCGCCAGACCAAAGAGGGGGACCUUAGGGCCUCUUGCCAUCGGAUGCGCCCAGGUGGGAUUAGCUAGUAGGUGGGGUAACGGCUCACCUAGGCGACGAUCCCUAGCUGGUCUGAGAGAAUGACCAGCCACACUGGAACUGAGACACGGUCCAGACUCCUACGGGAGGCAGCAGUGGGGAAUAUUGCACAAUGGGCGCAAGCCUGAUGCAGCCAUGCCGCGUGUAUGGAGAAGGCCUUCGGGUUGUAAAGUACUUUCAGCGGGGAGAAAGGGAGUAAAGUUAAUACCUUUGCUCAUUGACGUUACCCGCAGAAGAAGCACCGGCUAACUCCGUG